UACGAAGGGGGCUAGCGUUGUUCGGAUUUACUGGGCGUAAAGCGCACGUAGGCGGGUCGUUAAGUCAGGGGUGAAAUCCCAGAGCUCAACUCUGGAACUGCCUUUGAUACUGGCGACCUAGAGUUCGGAAGAGGUUAGUGGAAUUCCCAGUGUAGAGGUGAAAUUCGUAGAUAUUGGGAAGAACACCAGUGGCGAAGGCGGCUAACUGGUCCGAUACUGACGCUGAGGUGCGGAAAGCGUGGGGAGCAAACAGG
rnacentral:rRNA from 1 species